UACGUAGGGUGCAAGCGUUAAUCGGAAUACUGGGCGUAAAGCGUGCGCAGGCGGCUAUGCAAGACAGAUGUGAAAUCCCCGGGCUCAACCUGGGAACUGCAUUUGUGACUGCAUGGCUAGAGUGCGGCAGAGGGGGAUGGAAUUCCGCGUGUAGCAGUGAAAUGCGUAGAUAUGCGGAGGAACACCGAUGGCGAAGGCAGCGCCCGUGGCCGCCAUCUGACGCUCAGGCACGAAAGCUGGGGGAGCGAACAGG
rnacentral:rRNA from 1 species